AUUCCUAAAUGGAGGAUUCAGUAUGCCAAGGAUCAAAUACCAUGACUAAGGAGUUCAUUGAUAAGGUUGUUGUAGUACUCCAGUCCCUUUGGAUUGACAGCUCCUCGGCCAUCUUCAUGGAUUGCAAACAGAAGAAUAAGCCUAGGCCAGGCAAUGGAAAAUCUGUAUGCAUCGACGCCCAUCUCGCUCAAAAGCUUUACAUCUUCCUGGUGGUUUAUCACAAUUCAGGCUCACAGUGCGUGGGUGAAAUUAACCUGAGUGUGUGAACGUGUCCCAGAUGCUGGGUUUUCUUCCGUCCUCUGCAACUGCGCCUUCAAUCUGGAAAAUCAGCCGAAUGUUCAGGCCGUGUUCCCGCCAAACUUCACCUCAAAAUAGUGUGAGUCGUCGAUUCUGCAGAUCCAACGGACUAAGAAGGAGCGAAUCCAAAGAAAGGUGGCCGUCGAUAUGGGUACAUCUGACGGCUCAGACUGUUUUUGUUUCUGUCAGG